AAAGCUCAAAUUUAAAAUCUGGUAGUCUUUGGCUGCCCGAGUUGUAAUCUAGAGAAGCAUUAUCCGCGCUGGACCAUGUAUAAGUCUCCUGGAAUGGAGCAUCAUAGAGGGUGAGAAUCCCGUCUUUGACAUGGAACUACCAGGGCAUUGUGAUAUGCUCUCAACGAGUCGAGUUGUUUGGGAAUGCAGCUCUAAAUGGGUGGUAAAUUCCAUCUAAAGCUAAAUAUUGGCGAGAGACCGAUAGCGAA
rnacentral:rRNA from 1 species